UUGGUCUUACCAUUUUAUAUUACUUGUGCGACUCGGUACACUUUCCGAAUUUCCCCCAACAAGUUUUUGGCGUCGUUGCUGGGGACUCACGGUUUAAGCUAUUCUAUUUGUGUGAUUCUUGAUUGAUUUUGACUUUAUUUUAUUUUAUUUUAUUUUAUUCCAUCAAUUUUUAUUUUUAUUUUUAAAUCCCCAAUUUCCA
rnacentral:lncRNA from 1 species